UGUGGGAUAGCUGGAUCAAAUGGUGAUUCCAUUCCAAGUUUUUUGAGGAAUCUCCAUGCUGCUUUCCAUAGUUGUUAUUCCAAUUUGCAGUUCCACAAGCAAU
rnacentral:pre_miRNA from 1 species